rnacentral:lncRNA from 1 species
GUAAACUGCAGUCAACACUAACUUGUACAUAAGAAACUUGAAGGAGCUAUAAGAAACAAACACGUUGACCUUUCUUGAAAACAGAAUGUCUACACAUCGUUCACAGUCCUUUAUGAAGUUUGAAAACACACCAAAUGACCAGGAAAACUUGAAGCUGAAUGGAUGGCUCUGUGCCUGGAUGGAGAGGAACUGAAGUAAAUAUGAAUAAGAGUUCUUUACCUGAUGGACCAUGGGAUGAAAGACAUCUUCAAAGAGAGGAACAGUCUCCAUAAAGAAGCAGAUGCCUCCUCUCUUCCUUUCUUACGAGGAAUAAAAAGAAGGAGGAACCUGCAAAGCAGAAAUGAGAGAGGAGUGGAAGCAGGAUCUACUGUGGAUCACAGGCACAAUUCCCCCCCUUGCUGAAUUCGCUACACAUGUUGCAACCGAGCAAGCAAGCCAACAUAAACCAGCACUUUCUUGAACUUUGUGUUCUCUUUUUAAAAUGAUCAUUAUUAUUUAAAAAGAUUGUGAGCAUUGACCGUGGUGCAGAUGGGGGUUCAGAUUUAGCAUGAGGUGGAGGAACCCAGACUUCUCAUAGCAAGAGGACUAGCUGGCAAAGGGGAAGGACAGACAAAUGAAGGACUGUCAUAUGCUAACCAGAAGGUCUAUUGGGCACUGAGGGCCUGACCUCCAGGUAGAGUAACUGAUGGGGAGGGAGGAAACCACAGCUUUUUGCAAGCUUCCAGCUGCAUUCACCACUAACCAAAAAGGGGACUUCAAAGUAUCUUACAAACCAUAGCAUGUGGCCCUCACAUUCUCAUCCCUCUUCCAAAC